rnacentral:rRNA from 1 species
AGCAGCCGCGGUAAUUCCAGCUCCAAUAGCGUAUAUUAAAGUUGUUACAGUUAAAAAGCUCGUAGUUGAAUUUCGGGAUUCUAUCGUUGGUCGGGCUAUUGUCUGUACUGGCGUGUAGAAUUUCUACCUUCUGGGGAACUAUCAUGUUAUUAAUUUAGCGUGGUAGGAAACCAGGACCUUUACCUUGAAAAAUUAGAGUGUUCAAAGCAGGCUUAUGUCUGAAUACAUUAGCAUGGAAUAAUAAAAUAGGACGGUGGUCCUGUUUUGUUGGUUUCUGAAUCACCGUAAUGAUUAAUAGGGAUAGUUGGGGGCAUUAGUAUUCAAUUGUCAGAGGUGAAAUUCUUGGAUUUAUUGAAGACUAACUACUGCGAAAGCAUUUGCCAAGGAUGUCUUCAUUAAUCAAGAACGAAAGUUAGGGGAUCGAAGACGAUCAGAUACCGUCGUAGUCUUA